rnacentral:lncRNA from 1 species
GCAAAGCCCAAACUUUUUAUUUCAAUCUCAUGCACCAAUUUAUCACAGUGCAUUUGUUACAGACAACACAUGAAUAUCGAGACAAUUUUUUAUUUCUGUCAGCCCUCCUUUGGUCAUUUACUUCAUUCUUUGGCAUAAACUACCCCAGAUUUUAGCUUUUCCACUCAGCAGUUCCUUUCCUCAGACUUGCAGUCACCUCCUGAAGGCUUUUGGUGGAGAUCCAGACUCAAGACUACGUUCCCCGAGGAGAAACCAAUUCAGGAGACCCCCUUUACCUCACAAGUGCAACAAGGGGUUUUUUUACUUCAGCAUUUUAUACCUUUUUUUUCCUUCCCGGGCGCACCUCCAGCGCUGGCAGCCUGCCGGGCGCCGCCGUUCUCCUCAGCGCGCUCCCCCUCACACGAGCGUCCCCAUCACACCCACAGCCAAAUCCUCCUACAUUUUGCAGCAAUCCUGCACAGACUGCAUUGAGCAACUUUUCCAGCAGCAGCCUCCUCAUUACAAAGCCGUUCUUUUUAGCCCCCUGCGAAAAAAACCGUGUGUUUCACUGGAUCCGGGAAACGGCAGCAGUGUGAGAAGGAAGCAGGGCUUUGGGCAGAGGCAGAAUGCUCCGAUAGUUUUUAUUACACACAGCCCCGAACCUGAGAAUAGUCUCGUGCAGUGCGUUAACUGAGGAAAGCGCUGAGGAAACUGAGGAAAGCUCUCGGGGAGCUGCCGCUGCCCUCAGGAGAAGCCCCCUUGCCCUCAGCGAGGCAGCCAAGAAAGCGGCCGGAGAACAGCUCUCAAAGCCCCGCCAGACGCAAGUCCUCCUCAGCAGGCUCCCUUGUUACCUGCAGGCUAGGGCUUUACAGAAGGGGAAGAAAAAAAGAAGGAAAAAAAAAAAAAGAAAAAAGAAAGAGAGUGAGAUAGAGAAAAGUGACCUUCUCAAGAUGGCGGCCGAAGCCAGGCUCGCCCCGCCUCCCCGCCCGCUUGUCCCUUCUCAAGAUGGCGGCGCGGAAGGGCCGGCGGCGGCGCGGAGUGCGCCUGCGCAACGCGGCCCGGAGUGCAGCGAAAUUCCUGGCGGGCGGGGGGAGGAGGAGGAGGGCGGCUGGGAGCCACGGCCGCUCGCCCCUGGCAGGGACCCUGCGUGCUGUGGCGGCGGCCGGCGCCGAGCCAGACCCCCGGGGGGCGCCGUGCGGGCGGGCUGAGGGCCACUCGCCGCCUCCUCGGGCGCUCGCAGCACCGGGAGCCGCGCCGUCCCCGGGACUCCCUCCCCGGGCGGAGAGGGGGAGAAUGACGGAGCUCCAGUCCGCCCUGUUACUGCGGAGGCAACUGGCAGACCCGCUUUCCUGCGCACAUCCUUGGAAGGCUGUGCAGGUGUAGCUGAGGAGACAGCAAGAGGAGCACAAUUUGCAGCUGUGGAGCGUUGUGUUGGGCUGAUGCCCUGAGCAGCUUGUGUGUUGAUGCUAAAAACGUACCCUCCCGACAAAUUCUGUGAUGCCAGGGGAAUCAUAGAAUCAUAGAAUCAUAGAAUAUCCUGAGUUGGAAGGGACCCUUAAGGAUCAUCAAGUCCAACUCUUGACACCGCACAGGUCUACCCAAGUUCAGACCAUGACCAUGGGGAGACCUAGGGCUGUGUGAUGCUGCCCUCCUCAACAGGGGAUAGCACGUGGAGGGCUGCUAAUCAGUUGCCAGGCUGAAGUUAAGAGCCAAAUCUAGAGUUGCUGCUGAACUGGUUGAUAGAGAUCUCUCCUUAGGGCAGGUUUGUAUUUACUGCUUCGGUCUUGAUGCAAAAUAAAUUAAAAUGUCCUUCUGAGAACAAAACUGUUCUGUCCUAACUGCUUGGUUUGUCACUGCCGGAGUGGCAGGCAGGAAUGCUGUGCAUCAUGUGCUAUGUUUUGACUGAACUUCUUGGAUGAGCUCGUGGAGCAAGACAGAACAUGAUGAAAGCAGAUAAUAUGGAGAGCUCUGGGAGCAGGUCUGUGUGAGGAGAUCGUGUUACUUCAGCAGUAUCCAGCACUCAUCUUCUAGAUUCAAAGCCUUGCAGCUGCGUACGUAGGCAGAAGGAAGAGUCUUGGAAAUCCUACCUGACCUCGGUUCAUCUAACCAUGGAAGUCACAGCGUGGGGUAUGGAGGAGAGGAGCCUGGAAGGAGGGGGUUCAGGCUCACCAGCUGUUUUUAGAAGCUCCUGGACUCACAAAAGACACCCAAGAAAAUCCAAGCCUAAUCUGUAGCAAAUGUAGGUCUCUGGUACAGCCCGUACCUGCCUGAGCAGGGACUGGCUGAGGGCGACGGCUUCUCCAGCAGCCUCAGCUGGGACUUGGGCUGUCCUCAUUUUGUUCCUGCUUUGGCCUCAGUCCCCUGGCAGCACAAACCUCAACCACUGUGCAGCUCGCUGAAGAGGCUGCUGUUUAAAAAUACUGUAGAAGCUUGUACUUCUGCAAGCUUUGUUCGGUGGUGUAACUUAACCUCGGCGGUGUUGGUGUGCAGCGGUUGGCAGCCGGAGCGUCAGGCUGAAACGCUGGGAUGCCGCACAUAGCUGCUGCCUGCAGCCACGGGGCUCUUUCUGCUUAGUCACUUCUGUUGACGCUGUUGCUUUUGGAUUUCUAAAAGUCUCCUGGUUUCAAUAAAUGCAGUUUUAGCGAGUGUGGAAACAUCAGUAGCUUGGUGUAAACUGAACACACGCUGGCAGCACGGCGUAAGGAAUGGCAUCGGCUCCAGCUUAGGGCGAUGGGAUCUGGUUCGGAGCUAAACCACUGCAGGAGCACCGGGGAGCUGGCAGGCGGUGUGGGAAGCCAGGCGCUGGGCAUUAAAGCCUCUUCUGGACUUAAACAACUCUGUCAUGGGCCUGCCGGCGUCUCCCAAAACAGGUAUUGAUUCAGGACCGGGACUAAAGGAACCGACAGCCUGAUUUAUGAGCAGCCACGGGAUUCUUCUCCCUGCGCGUUGCUGCCUGGCAGCUGCCCAGCCUGGUGUGCGCUGGCUGUCAGCUGUGGCUCGAGCUGCUGAGGACUCUACCUGAGGGUGCUUCCAGAGGGAAU